UACAGAGGGGGCCAGCGUUAUUCGGAAUUAUUGGGCGUAAAGGGCGCGUAGGCGGCUUUGCGUGUCUUUCGUGAAAUCCCUCGGCUCAACUGAGGACGUGCGGAAGAAACUGCAGGGCUGGAGUCCGGGAGAGGAGGGUGGAAUUCCUGGUGUAGCGGUGAAAUGCGCAGAUAUCAGGAAGAACACCCGUGGCUAAGGCGGCUCUCUAGUACGGUACUGACGCUGAGACGCGAAAGCGUGGGGAGCGAACAGG
rnacentral:rRNA from 1 species